rnacentral:rRNA from 1 species
UACGGAGGGUGCAAGCGUUAUCCGGAUUCACUGGGUUUAAAGGGUGCGUAGGUGGGUAGGUAAGUCAGUGGUGAAAUCCCCGAGCUUAACUUGGGAACUGCCGUUGAUACUAUCUAUCUUGAAUAUCGUGGAGGUAAGCGGAAUAUGUCAUGUAGCGGUGAAAUGCUUAGAUAUGACAUAGAACACCCAUUGCGAGGGCAGCUUACUACACGAUCAUUGACACUGAGGCACGAAAGCGUGGGGAGCAAACAGG